AACCGACACAGGUGGUCAGGUAGAGAAUACCAAGGCGCUUGAGAGAACUCGGGUGAAGGAACUAGGCAAAAUGGUGCCGUAACUUCGGGAGAAGGCACGCUGACACGUAGGUGAAGUGAUUUACUCACGGAGCUGAAGUCAGUCGAAGAUACCAGCUGGCUGCAACUGUUUAUUAAAAACACAGCACUGUGCAAACACGAAAGUGGACGUAUACGGUGUGACGUCUGCCCGGU
rnacentral:rRNA from 1 species